rnacentral:lncRNA from 1 species
UUGGAGCAGGUAUAUCUUGAAGUCUCCCCAACAGAAACUCAAUCAACUCUAGCAUCCAGCAUGGGCAGACGUACCUAGAUCUGCACAAAAAUGUGCAGAAGCAUAGUAUGAGUACACCACAAUGGUCCCCAGUAAGUAUAAAGCUUAACCUCAGUAGAGUAGUGAUUUAUCCAGGUCAAGACACCUACUAAGAUAUAAAUAAGCAGUAUGAAAAUGUAAUACGAGUAUAUAUUGGAAGGCGAAUGACGUCGCGUGGCUUCAAAUAGUUCUCCUACAAGCAACACGCACAUAAGUCCCACCUUAUACCACCGCAUGCACAUCAACCCCAAACCGUAUACCACCGCAUGUGCAUCAAUAUCUCAUGACAAUAGUAACUGGCACCACAAGUGACCAGAUAUCACAAUUUGCCAACAAUCCACAAUCCCAAUGUUUCCACAACAAUAUCCCACGACUCUACCACAACGGGUACAAAAAUAUCAACAACAACAACGAUGAAUGUAUAAUGCUCAAAAGGAAGAUAUUUCAACAAUAACGACUUUUACACCUUUAAAAUCAACAAUGAGAGGCAAAGCAUAACAACGACGUUAAAAUAAGAAUAACUCACAAUGGAAGAGACAACGAGUAGCAAUGUCUUUAGAUAAUGGAAAUCAACAAUGAAAGAGAUAACAUAAACAAUAACUUCAAUUAAUGAUAUUCAACAAUAAAAGAGAUAACAUGUGUAAUGACUUCAAAUAAUAAUAAUCAAUAAUGAAGAGAUAACAUUUAACAAUAAAAGAGGCAACGAGUUCAACUAAAACUGGAGAGAAAUUUAUCAAUUAGGAGAUAGAACGAGUGUUAACGAAAUCAUUUAAGGCAUGUAUGGCUAGUCUAAUACAAGUAAGGAUAGAUUGACUAAGAGAUUUUAGAACAUGAUAUGGCAUUUCAAUUAUAGCAUGGAAAUAGCCUAAACCGGUCAAAUACCAUGUACAACCCGUGUACCCACUCGUCACCUUGCGUACACGAAUUUCACUUAGCAUAAUUGAAUCAAACAAUAUCAAUCCUAAGGGGUAGUUUCCCCACACGAAGUUAGGAAAGAUACUUACCUCAACUAGGCCAAAUCAACACUUGGAAAUAGCUUGUCCCUUAAAAUUUGCCUCCAUAUGGCUCAAAUUUAAUCAAAAUCGACUUAAUAUCAUCAAAGAAUACUAGGGAAAUUAAUUGCAAUAAAUAAAGCUAAGAUCUUUAUACUUUUCCCAAAAGGUUAACCUGGGGCCCACCCGGUCAAAACCUGAGUCCAAUGGUAGAUUCCGCCUACACAUGACCCCACAAGUUCAUAUUUGUGAUUAGUUUCAAAAUCCGAGUCAAAUCGACUCUGAAAACUCAAUUUCUUUUUUUCACAAACUUGAUAAAGUUUCACAAACUUUCACUUUGAUUCACAUGUAAGAUAUGUUGAUGGAAUAUGAUUAGAAAGGAUUAGAAUCAAACCCAAGGUUUGUAGAUAAAAAUAUCCUCUCCAAAUCGCCUUCUAACGAGUCUAGGGUUCAAAAAUGAGAGAAUGAGUUCAAAAAUCCCAUCUCCCAGACCUUUUACCUACUGCAGAUGUCGCAUUUGCGACACAAGGUUCACAUUUGCGAGCCUAUGGGGCUCCAAACCAAACCUUCACAUAAGUCUAAAAAAUCAUAAAAAACUCACUCGCGCAAUCAAAACACCAAUAUAACAUCUAAAACUAUGAAUUGAACUCCAAAACACAUAAAUUUCAAAGUGAAGUUCAUGAAUUUCUAAAGUUUCAUCUAACGUCUAAAUCCUAUCAAAUCAACUCCAAAUAACAUUACGUUUUGCAGACAAGUUCUAAAUAUCAUAACACACUUACUCCAUGUCCCAAAAUCAAAUUCCGAUCUCGAUCAUUAAAAGUCAACCUACGAUCAAAUCUUUCAACUUCAAAUUGCCAAAUUUUAGCAAAUCAGCAUAAAUCAACCUACAGACUUUCAAAAUCAAUUUCAGGCUCACACCCAAGUCCGAAUUCACGAUAACAUUGCUAUCAGUGCCAUAAAACAGAGUUCCGGGAUCAUUUUUACGAAAAACAAAGUUUGAUCAAUAUUUUCUAAUUUAAACUUCUAAGUGAAGAAUCAAGGGUCCAAAUCAACCCGAAUGCUUCUCAGAACAAAACUUACCGAACCCGCAAGUCAUAGAAUCAUAAACACACAUGUGAGGCAAUAAAAGGGGUAAGGGGGAGCAAUUACCCAAAACAACAGGUUGGGUCGUUACAUUCUCCCCCUGUUAAAAAAAAUGUCGGUCCUCAAACAUGCAUAAGGACAUACUUGAAGUGGUAAAUAGAUGUGGAUAACGACUUUGCAUGUCGUGCUCGGUCUCCCAGGUCACCUCCUUAACCGAAUGACCCCUCCAUUGAGUCUUCACUGAACCAAUACUCUUUGACCUCAACUUCCGGACCUGCCUAUCAAAGAUCGCCACAGACUCCUUAAUAUAAGUCAAAUCCUCGUCCAAUUGGACUCUGAAGUCUAGAAUAUGGGAUGGAUAACAAUAAUACUCCUGGAGCAUAGAGACAUGGAAUACUGGAUGAACCAUAGAUAAACUAGGUGGAAAAGCAAGCUUGUAGGCCACCUCCCCAAUCCUAUAAAAGAUCUCAAAAGGUUCGAUAUACCUAGGUUUCAACUUUUCCUUCUUCCCAAACCUUAUCACACCCUUCAUGGGUUAGACUUGGAGCAAGACUCGCUCUCCAAUCGUGAAUGCAACAUCACGAACCUUCUGAUCUGCAUAACUCUUCUGUCUAUAUUGGGUUGUAUGAACCCGAUCCUGGAUCAUCUUGACCUUCUCCAAAGCAUCUUGAACAAGGUCCAUGCCUAAUAAAUUAGCCUCUUCUCGUUCAAAUCACCUAACUGGAGAACAACAUCGCCUUCUAUAUAGAGCCUCAUAUGGAGCCAUAUAAAUACGGGAUUGGUAGCUGUUGUUGUAGGCAAACUCCGCAAAUGGAAAGAAUUAGUCCCAAGUAACCUCAAAAUCCAUAACACAGGCGCAAAUUAGAUCCUCCAAAAUCUGAAUAAUGCGCUCGGACUGUCCAUCCCUCUGUAUAGCUUUCUAAAAACGCAAUAUGAACUACGUUCCCCGGUCAGGCACUAGGAUGUCAGACAAUCUCACAGAUAUAAAUAUGAGCUACAUGCUCCAAAAAAUAGGUAGUCACUACCGAAAUAAUAUGAGCCAACGUGGUCAACCAGUCCACAAUCACCCAUACCACAUCAAAUUUUUUUUAAUUCCGUGGGAGUCCAACAACGAAAUCUAUGGUGACAUGCUCCCAUUUCCACUCGGGAAUCUCAAGUUGCUGAAGCAAACCACCCGGUCGUUGUUGUUCAUACUUCACCUGCUAAAAAUUUAGGCGUCGAGCUACAUACUCUACUAUUUAUUUUUUCAUCCUCCUCUACCAAUAGUGCUAUCUCAAGUCUUGAUACAUCUUAGCAGCACUCGGAUUAAUGGAGUACUGCAAUCUGUGUGCCUCCUGAAUAAUCAACUCAGGCAACCCAUCCAUAUUGGGCACACAUAAUCGGCCAUGCAUCUGCAACACACAUUCAUCCCCAAUAGUAACCUCAUUUGCAUCGCCGUACUGAACCGUGCACUUGAGGACAAGCAAAUGGGGGUUGUCAUACUGGCGCUCUCUGAUACGGUCAUAUAGAGAUGACCGAGAAACCAUGUCAGUAAGAGCUCUACUAGGAUUCGAAACAUCCAAUCUAACAAACUGGUUGACUAAGGCCUGAACCUCCAAUGCUAACGACCUCUUCGUUAUCGGUAGAUAUGCUAGACUAUCCAAGCUCUCCACUUUUUGACUCAAGGAAUCGACCACUACAUUGGCUUUCCUGGGAUGUUAUAGAAUGGUGAUAUCAUAGUCCUUAAGCAACUCUAACCACCUCCACUGACGCAAGUUAAGAUAUUUCUGCUAUAAUAGAUGCUGUAGAUUCUGGUAGUCGGUAAAGAUCUCACAAGGAACACCGUACAAAUAAUGCUACCAGAUCUUUAAUGGAUGAACAAUGGCUGCCAACUCCAAGUCGUGGAUUGGAUAAUACUUCUCAUGGGUCUUUAGUUGUUUAGACAUGUAGUCAGUCACCCUAACGUCUUGCAUCAACAUCAUGCCAAGGCCAAUAUGUGAUACAUCAUAGUACAUAUUAUAAGACCCCGAGCCCUUAUGCAACACCAACACCGGGGUUGUAGUAAAAGUAGUCUUGAGCUUUUGAAAACUCUCCUCACACUCCUCGGUGCAUCUGAAUGGAGAACCCUUCUGGGUCAAUCUGAUCAUAGGUGCAGCAAUAGAUGAGAAGCCCUAUAUGAAACAACAAUAAUAGCCGGCCAAACCAAGAAAAUACUGGAUCAUAGUAGCUGCAGACGGUCUGGGCCAUUUCCUCAAUGCUUCGAUCUUCCUCAGAUCUACAUUGAUCCCCUCACUUGACACCACAUGACCCAAAAACACCACUAAAUCAAGCAGAAUUCACUUUGAGAAUUUCGCAUACAACUUCUUCUCUCUCAAGGUCUAAAACACGAUCCUCAAGUGCUGCUCAUGAUCUUCCCCACUUCGGUAGUACGAUGUUCAUAUGGUGCAUAACGAUGUUGGGGCAUUGGUCAGCCCAAAAUACUUUUGAGGAACUCGUAGUGAACAUACCGAGUGUCACACCUCCUUUUCACAGCCCCGGAAGGGUAUAAGGGAGUUUUUCUAAUUUAAGUGACAAUCGAAACGAGAUUAUUUAUAUUAAAAUCAGAGUCGCCACUUGAGAUAAUUUAUGGUGUCCCAAGUCAACCGGUUUAAAAUCCUGAAUCGACGAAGUUGACUCUAUUUACAAUCUGCGAACAUAGAAAUUUGAGUAAGGAAUUCUAUUAACGCGGGAGAAGGUGUUAGGCAUUCCCGGGUUCCGUGGUUUUAGCACGGUCGCUUCGAUCCUACAUGACUUAAUCAAAUUAUCUAAUUACUGAGUCUAGAACCUAUGUGCAUUUGCCUCUUUUAAUUAAGAAAUUAUCUUAAAAUAGGUCACGUGCAUGUGUACCCAUUUGUUUGGCGGGUCAAAAAUUAUUUCACAUGAACGUGUCUACAAUUAGUAACGCUUUAUUAUUAUUAAGAAUGUUUAGUCGAAGUUCUGUGAACGCAUACUCCGAUUUUAUUUUCAAGAUCGUAAUUAUGUCAUGCGAACAUGUCCACAAUCACGACAAUGGAUUUAACACGCGCCUAAAGCAAUCCUACAAUUGUUCAUUAUUCUUCCUAAAAUGCUUUCUAUGAAAUCAGGACUUGAGCAAACCAAAAAAAGAAUCUAAUGAUUAUAUGAAGGCGGAUCAUUGAUUCACUUCAACCUGGGUGUUAUCGUCAUUGCAGUACCAAAUAAAUACUGUGGAAAAUAAAGUUCUAAGACAACAACUUAACAUGCACAGCUAUUAGUAAUUCUUGAUUUGUUUUAUUUAGUUGUUAUUGAGUUCACAAUCUUGAACAUCUGUACUCUAGUAUGACAAUCAACAAAACAAAAAUAGCACAGAACGUUAUAUUUGCAAAUUACAAAGCUAGUGUUUCAUAACCUCUUUAAUCGACCUUUCUUGCCUUCGAAGUUAGAGGCCUAUUCCAUGCCUUUUCAAAACCCAGAAUUGGGCGACAUUCACAAGUGCCAUUGGACCAAGAAGCAAAGAAAAAUAAGAUAUAGAUUACCAGACAAAUCCUAUAAACUAGUCUUUCUUUCCAAAUAUACAAAUCUUGUUCUGAAGAUAUACAACAUUUAUUUAUUUUUAAAAGAACCAAAUUCAUGUUGUCUUUGAUUAACUUUCCUUUUCAACACUCAAUAUGACAAGAUUUCCCAUUAAACUAUUGUAACAAUUAAGCAAUCACCUCCCCACCACAGAAAAACAACUAGAAAUUUCUAAAAAUUUAAGACCAGAAAAAUCUAGAUCUUAGAUUUCCACCUCAUCAUUUCCAGAAUUUCGUUAAGCUAUCGAUCAACAAUUAACUUUUCAUGUAAAAUAUUCUUUGACAUUCAUAUAAACAAAGAAGCCUAAGAUCCAUAAACAACAUGGCACAAAACCAGAAUUUACAAAUGAAAUAGUGAUGGACUAAUCAUUCAAUAAUCAUAAGAUAAAAAUCCACAAAUUUUCUGAAUUGAAAAUUUAUGUAAACAUAGCAACCCAAGCAAAUCUAAGAUAACAGAAAACAAAGGGAGUUAAGACAUAAUCACAGAGACACUAAUGAAGCAAGGCAAACGAACAAAUUAGACCAUUCAUAUGAGAAAUAAAAAAAACGAAAGAAGCAGAGACUGAGUAGAACUAUGGACUGAGAUUUAAGUCCAUGAACUUAGUACUAAAAUAAGAAAAAUAUACCUCAAAGAAAACAUUCUUCAAUUAACAAGGAAAACCUUUAACUUGUUUACAACACACGUCAAACCCCGGCAACAAAUUAAACUUGGAACCACGAAUAGCAGCGAACUCAACAACUUUCAAUCGAAUUCCUUUUUUAGCCAGAAAACCAAUACAAAAGAAGGGAUUGAACGUCUAUAUACUUCGACCUUUUAAACAGUAAUCAAAACCAAAUCAAAGAAAGAACACUCAAUAUUUUUUUAUGUGUACAUCUAUAAAUCUGAAAAUAAAGAAGGAAGAGGAAAAUCCGAACAAAAAAACUUCAAGCCCUAGCUUUUCCUCGACUUUUCUUUAAUUUCCUCAAAAAAAACCAAAGACCCCUGAAUCUCUGAGAUAACCCCCUAUUUAUACUCACCUAUCUUCAAGAAAUCCGAAAAAAAAAACUUUUUAGAACGAAUCCGGAUAGAUGGAAGGAGCGGAUUGAUUGAAAAUCAAUCCAUGGGCCCCCAUUUUUCGGAAUUCAUCCUCAAAAAAUUCCAAAACGCGUCCAGCACAUGGGAGAGGAAAAAUUGUCAGAAACUGUUAGAAUCUUGAUGACAUGGUGAGAUGGGGCCCGUGUUAUUUGUGAACUCGCCUGAGUUCGACGAGUUCUGAGGUGGGUUGAGGCGCGACGGGGAUUAGGUUGAGGAACAACGCCGUUUGGGAGUAUAGGUUAGGGUUAGGUCUUGCGGAAGAAAUGUUAUAAUUGGGCUUAUAUGUGUUUGGGCAUGGGGCGGGUCGUGGGUUAGUGGUGUUUUG